rfam:Oryza meridionalis cultivar OR44 (W2112) chromosome 6, whole genome shotgun sequence.
AAAAAAACAAACCAUGGUUUCCGUAUCCAACGUUUGACCGUCUGUCUUAUUUUAAAAAAAUUAAGAAGAUAAGUCACGUAUAAAAUAUUAAUCAUAUUUUAUCAUCUAAUAAAUAUGAAAAUAUUAAUUAUAAAAAAAUUUCAUAUAAGACGGACAGUCAAAUAUUGGUAUGGAAACUCAGGUUUGUCUUUUUU